rnacentral:tRNA from 1 species
GGGAAUAUGGCUUAGUGGUAGAGUACUUGCUUAGCAUGCAUGAAGCCCUGGGUUCAAUUCCUCAUUACUA